GUAAAACGAUAAGAAGUGGAGUGCGGCGAGUGAUAUUUAAUAUGUUUAGUAAAUUAAAGCAAGAACAAGAAGAGAAGGAAGCAAUGUUGUGGCAAAAAAAAACAAUUGUUUAGACUGAAUUCGUAGCUCAUAUACAAGUCAUAUAAUCUUGACGACAGUUGCGAUUAAGAAAAUAAAUAAUAUAGCUAGACGAAACAUACAUUUCAGCAGCUCAAAUGGAAACAGUCAUAAAAGUUGCUUUUGAAAAUACAACACCAGAACAUUCAAGACAAUGACAGAUCAUAUUCUUCAUGUUGAUGUUUAGAACAAAACGGGGGAUGGAAUAUUAGAAGAGCUAGAACCAUUGAUCAUAAUUGUGCAGGAUAAUAGUUCCAGUAGUAGUUCAGACGAAUCUAUGGAAAUUGAAAUAUUAGAAUCAGCUUUUGUUUAUAAUAAAUUAAGUCUGUAUAUCUUC